UCAUUGUUUUAAAAUCCAAACAAACUGUAUUGUGGUCAGUAAAAUGAAAUAAAUAUUAUAAAAGACUUCAAGAUUGUAUUUAUCAUUACAGAAAAGUGUCAUGGGACCCAUAUUAAGUUUCCAAAUUUGAUCUGCUGCACACAAGUAGCUUUGAAGAAGAAGGAUCCCAGCUUAAAGAAAAACACGUCACAUCCAUAAUUGUUUGACAUCAUCUUCAAGCACACCUGGAUUCCUUGUUGCAAUGUCUUCAAAACAAAUGUAAAAAUGAAAGUAUUUCAGUGGUGAGCUCAUAUGAUGGGAUCAAAAGGAAGUGAACUGGACUCUGAGGGACUUAACACAAGAUUGUGAUGGACCUAGAAUGCGACAUCGUUUACGAAUAAGUCAAGAACCAAAUGAAACACUAUUUUCCAGAGCGCAGAUUAUGGAGGGGUCUGCAAAACUAAUGGAGCAGUUUCUUCUUCUUGGAGUGCCACAGCUUGAUGCUGCAUAUAAGGACUUAGUGAAGGACACAGAAACAUCUUUAAAAGAAAUGGUUUAAUAGAAGGGAAGGAAAGAAGAAAGUACUCAGCAUUGAAAUAUUGUCUUACAGAAAUCCAAAGAUCCUAACAGCUCUCCUGAUUCCGUCAAGGCUUGAAGUGUCAGCAUUACGAUGGCCAACACUCGCUCACUAUCCUUCUGCUCCCUCAUUUAUCAGAGGCACCGCAGUAGAAUGAAUUAGCAAUUACUCUUCACUUUCCAGCCGCAACCCAGCACUGGGAAACACCCAUACACCAUACGCCUGCACACAUUCACUUACUAUGGCCAAUUCACCAAUACCAAACGCAUGCCUUUGGACUGUGGGGGCAACUGGAGCACCCAGAGGAAACCCACACAAACACUGGGAGAACUUGCAAACUUCACACAGAAACACCAACUGACCCAGUCAGGACUCGAACCAGUGACCUUCUUGCUGUGAUGUGACAGUUCUAACCAGUGAGCCACUGUGCCACCCAUGGACAAAACUAUUUACGUUAUAAGAGAGGCCGGCGAACAUGGACAUGCUACAGGUUGUGGAGUGGCUGUUCUCAGUGUUUUGUCUAAUCAUUUUGCAAAGUUUUGUGUGCCAUUACGCACUUUCUUCAAUAACUUUUAUUGAAAAUUAUGUAUAAAAAUGGAUGUUGCCAUGACUAAUACAUACAUGUACCGUCAACUUGUUGAAAUUGUAGUGUUAUUUAAUAGAUGUUUGUGUAUUGUUUCUGUCUGCAUUGUAAUACAUUUUUCAUCAUUUUAGAGAUGUUUGAAAGUUAAGUUUUGUAUUUGUUCAAUCAGUAAACAAGCUUACAAAUGUUUAAUAAAAAGUGAAAUCAUUAGAAUUAGAUUGUUGAAUGCCAUUAAGCUGUUAAUUAUGUUUACUAAUUAAAUAGUAAAAAUGUAUAAUGUUUAGAGGUAGAUCUUAUACAACGUACGCAGA